rnacentral:rRNA from 1 species
CUUGAACGCUGGCGGCAUGCUUUACACAUGCAAGUCGAACGGUAACAGGCCGCAAGGUGCUGACGAGUGGCGAACGGGUGAGUAAUGCAUCGGGACGUGCCCAGUCGUGGGGGAUAACGCAGCGAAAGCUGCGCUAAUACCGCAUACGAUCUAUGGAUGAAAGCGGGGGACCGGAAGGCCUCGCGCGAUUGGAGCGGCCGAUGUCAGAUUAGGUAGUUGGUGGGGUAAAGGCUCACCAAGCCGACGAUCUGUAGCUGGUCUGAGAGGACGACCAGCCACACUGGGACUGAGACACGGCCCAGACUCCUACGGGAGGCAGCAGUGGGGAAUUUUGGACAAUGGGCGCAAGCCUGAUCCAGCAAUGCCGCGUGCAGGAAGAAGGCCUUCGGGUUGUAAACUGCUUUUGUACGGAACGAAACGGUCCUGGUUAAUACCUGGGGCUAAUGACGGUACCGUAAGAAUAAGCACCGGCUAACUACGUGCCAGCCGCCGCCGUAAAAC